rnacentral:rRNA from 1 species
UACGUAGGGAGCGAGCGUUGUCCGGAUUCAUUGGGCGUAAAGAGCUCGUAGGCGGCUUGGCAAGUCGGGUGUGAAAACUCCAGGCUCAACCUGGAGACGCCACCCGAUACUGCCAUGGCUAGAGUCCGGUAGGGGACCACGGAAUUCCUGGUGUGGCGGUGAAAUGCGCAGAUAUCAGGAGGAACACCGGUGGCGAAGGCGGUGGUCUGGGCCGGAACUGACGCUGAGGAGCGAAAGCGUGGGGAGCGAACAGG